rnacentral:misc_RNA from 1 species
UGGUUCUGGCAUCGAUGAAGAACGCAGCGAAAUGCGAUAAGUAAUGUGAAUUGCAGAAUUCAGUGAAUCAUCGAAUCUUUGAACGCACAUUGCGCCCUUUGGUAUUCCGAAGGGCAUGCCUGUUCGAGCGUCAUUUCACCCCUCAAGCCUCGCUUGGUGUUGGGCGCCGCGGUCCGCCGCGCGCCUCGAAGUCGUCCGGCUCCGCUGCUCGUCUCUAAGCGUCGUGACCCAUGUUCGCGGUGAGAUCGGGGGGCGGGGGCCGUUAAACACCCCACCACAGGUUGACCUCGGAUCAGGUAGGGAUACCCGCUGA